CGCCUGACAGGAACCCAGGGGAACUGGGAAAGAACAGCAUGGGCCACAAGGCAGGUCAACCAGAGCAGUGAGAUGACACACACACAAUGAUGUGCACAAUUAGAUUGGAGAGGAAACAUCAUUCGGGGGACCCAGGCAUGCCAAGGUGUGCACGUGAAGUGGAACAAAUUGAAAUAGAAAAAGCAGGGAAUUGCUUCAGAGACAGGCGCCCUGAGACUCAGAUGCACGAUGCACCUGCUGGCCUUGCCUAGACAACGUGAAACGCCACACCCUGCCUGGGGCACGUCGGGGCGCCCCUCCCAGGUGCAGCCACAGCAGUGCUCACACGCACACACACACAGGGUCACACACCUGACAACACGUGCUCACACAGACAGGCACGGGAGGAAGAGGAGACUGAAAUAGCUGGAGAGGUAAAGUCAGGUUAAAAAUAGAGUGGGACGAGAGGAGAGCGUGAGAUUGACUGCCGAAGGUAUGAGAGUCGGAGUUAUUUUGGCCACGCCACAGCAUCAGCACAGCUGCAAAGCAGCCUGGGAGAAGAUGGUCAGCGCCACUGAAGCUACCGGAGGUCACAGGACAGAGAGAGACAGAGAGACGAGUGCACAGAGAGACAGAGGGAGAGGCGCAGGGGCCUGCCGCUGGCCCAGGGACAUCCCUGUGAGGAGCAGAUGGAGGAAGGAGGGGAGAGAGAGGCCAAGAAAGAAAAAAAUGUGCUGAUCCCUGCUGUGAGGGACUACAAGUGGAGGGGCCAGGACGUGGGGCGAGCUCUGGAGGUGGUCAGCAGGCAAGGGGCGUGAAAGCUGCAGUGGGCAGAAGCCAUGUGGACGCAGGAUCCUGGCAUGCUUAGUGUGCUGAUCUGUCUCCUGCUCCAUGAAAAGUGCUCCCAGGGAAGAUCUGGGCAAUGGGAAUAACCCCCAGAGCCUGAAAGGAAGGUCACGUUAGGCCAGAGGAGGCACUGUGAUUUCAGCGACUGAAGUCUGGGUCUGCCCUGGACGCUGAGCGGAAGUGUGAUGUCCGCAGGCAUGCUGGAGAGAGGGUGCACUGGGCCGGCUGCACCAGCCAAGGUGGGUGGGGCAGGGGACACGUGGCUGGAGGGAAGAGCUAGUGUCAGACACUGACGGCG